rnacentral:rRNA from 1 species
ACGCUAGCUACAGGCUUAACACAUGCAAGUCGAGGGGCAUCAGGAAGAAAGCUUGCUUUCUUUGCUGGCGACCGGCGCACGGGUGAGUAACACGUAUCCAACCUGCCCUUUACUCGGGGAUAGCCUUUCGAAAGAAAGAUUAAUACCCGAUAGCAUAAUGAUUCCGCAUGGUUUCAUUAUUAAAGGAUUCCGGUAAAGGAUGGGGAUGCGUUCCAUUAGGUUGUUGGUGAGGUAACGGCCCACCAAGCCUUCGAUGGAUAGGGGUUCUGAGAGGAAGGUCCCCCACAUUGGAACUGAGACACGGUCCAAACUCCUACGGGAGGCAGCAGUGAGGAAUAUUGGUCAAUGGGCGCUAGCCUGAACCAGCCAAGUAGCGUGAAGGAUGAAGGCUCUAUGGGUCGUAAACUUCUUUUAUAUAAGAAUAAAGUGCAGUAUGUAUACUGUUUUGUAUGUAUUAUAUGAAUAAGGAUCGGCUAACUCCGUGCCAGCAGCCGCGGUAAUACGGAGGAUCCGAGCGUUAUCCGGAUUUAUUGGGUUUAAAGGGAGCGUAGGUGGACUGGUAAGUCAGUUGUGAAAGUUUGCGGCUCAACCGUAAAAUUGCAGUUGAUACUGUCAGUCUUGAGUACAGUAGAGGUGGGCGGAAUUCGUGGUGUAGCGGUGAAAUGCUUAGAUAUCACGAAGAACUCCGAUUGCGAAGGCAGCUCACUGGACUGCAACUGACACUGAUGCUCGAAAGUGUGGGUAUCAAACAGGAUUAGAUACCCUGGUAGUCCACACAGUAAACGAUGAAUACUCGCUGUUUGCGAUAUACAGUAAGCGGCCAAGCGAAAGCAUUAAGUAUUCCACCUGGGGAGUACGCCGGCAACGGUGAAACUCAAAGGAAUUGACGGGGGCCCGCACAAGCGGAGGAACAUGUGGUUUAAUUCGAUGAUACGCGAGGAACCUUACCCGGGCUUAAAUUGCAGUGGAAUGAUGUGGAAACAUGUCAGUGAGCAAUCACCGCUGUGAAGGUGCUGCAUGGUUGUCGUCAGCUCGUGCCGUGAGGUGUCGGCUUAAGUGCCAUAACGAGCGCAACCCUUAUCUUCAGUUACUAACAGGUCAUGCUGAGGACUCUGGAGAGACUGCCGUCGUAAGAUGUGAGGAAGGUGGGGAUGACGUCAAAUCAGCACGGCCCUUACGUCCGGGGCUACACACGUGUUACAAUGGGGGGUACAGAAGGCAGCUAGCGGGUGACCGUAUGCUAAUCCCAAAAUCCUCUCUCAGUUCGGAUCGAAGUCUGCAACCCGACUUCGUGAAGCUGGAUUCGCUAGUAAUCGCGCAUCAGCCACGGCGCGGUGAAUACGUUCCCGGGCCUUGUACACACCGCCCGUCAAGCCAUGGGAGCCGGGGGUACCUGAAGUACGUAACCGCAAGGAUCGUCCUAGGGUAAAACUGGUGACUGGGG